GGAAGUAAAAGUCGUGACAAGGUCUCCGUUGGUGAACCAGCGGAGGGAUCAUUACCGAGUUUACAACUCCCAAACCCCUGUGAACAUACCAUUUGUUGCCUCGGCGGUGCCUGCUUCGGCAGCCCGCCAGAGGACCCAAACCCUUGAUUUUAUACAGUAUCUUCUGAGUAAAUGAUUAAAUAAAUCAAAACUUUCAACAACGGAUCUCUUGGUUCUG
rnacentral:misc_RNA from 1 species